ensembl:lncRNA
AUGCUCUGUGUAUGCAUUCUGCAAUCCUCAAACAUCCCCUUUUACAUAGAAAUGGUUGCUCCCAUAAUGCUUCCUAAGCACACACACACAAACACACACACUCUAAUCACAGAACCAGUGCUAAUAAAGAUUCUAUCAGACACACACAUUCAUAGGCAUACACAUAAAUAUACAAGCACCUACAGUACACACACACAACAUCAAUAUAUAAACUCAGCAAAAAAAGAAACGUCCUCUCACUGUCAACUGUGUUUAUUUUCAGCAAACUUAACAUGUGUAAAUAUUUAUAUGAACACAACAAGAUUCAACAACUGAGACAUCAACUGAACAAGUUCCAAAGACAUUUGACAAACAGAAAUGGAAUAAUGUGUCCCUGACCAAAGGGGGAGUCAAAAUCAAAAGGAACAGUCAGUAUCUGGUGUGGCCACCAGCUGCAUUAAGUACUGCAGUGCAUCUCCUCCUCAUGGACCACCAGAUUUGCCAGUUCUUGCUGUGAGAUGUUACCCCACUCUUCCACCAAGGCACCUGCAAGUUCCCAGACAUUUCUGGGGGGAAUGGCCCUAGCCCUCACCCUCUGAUUCAACAGGUUCCAGAAGUGCUCAAUGGGAUUGAGAUCCGGGCUCUUCGCUGGCCAUGGCAGAACACUGACAUUCCUGUCUUGCAGGAAAUCACGCACAGAACGAGCAGUAUGGCUGGUGACAUUGUCAUGCUGAAGGGUCAUGUCAGGAUGAGCCUGCAGGAAGGGUACCACAUGAGGGAGGAGGAUGUCUUCCCUGUAACGCACAGUGUUGAGAUUGCCUGCAAUGACAACAAGCUCAGUCCGAUGAUGCUGUGACACACCGCCCCAGACCAUGAUGGACCUUCCACCUGCAAAUCAAUCCCACUCCAGAGUACAGGUCUCGGUGUAACGCUCAUUCCUUCGAGGAUAAACGCGAAUCCGACCAUCACCCCUGUUGAGACAAAACCAUGACUCGUCAGUGAAGAGCACUUUUUGUCCGUCCUGUCUGGUCCUGCGACGGUGGGUUUGUGCCCAUAGGCGACAUUGUUGCCAGUGAUGUCUACAAGCCCUCAGUCCAGCCUCUCUCAGCCUAUUGCGUACAGUCUGUGCACUGACGGAGGGAUUGUGCGUUCCUGGUGUAACUCAGGCAGAUGUUGUUGCCAUCCUGUACCUGUCCCGCAGGUGUGAUGUUCGGAUGAACCGAUCCUGUGCAUGUGUUGUUACAUGUGGUCUGCCACUGCGAGGAUGAUCAGCUGUCCGUCCUGUCUUCCUGUAGUGCUGUCUUAGGCGUCUCACAGUACGGACAUUGCAAUUUAUUGCCCUGGCCAUAUCUGCAGUCCUCAUGCCUCCUUCCAGCAUGCCUAAGACAUGUUCACGCAGAUGAGCAGGGACCCUGGGCAUCUUUCUUUUGGUGUUUUUCAGACUCAGCAGAAAGGCCUCUUUAGUGUCCUAAGUUUUCAUAACUGUGACCUUAAUUGCCUACCGUCUGUAAGCUGUUAGUGUCUUUACGACCGUUCCACAGGUGCAUGUUCAUUAUUUGUUUAUGGUUCAUUGAACAAGCAUGGGAAACUGUGUUAAAACCCUUUACAAUGAAGAUCUAUGAAGUUAUUUGGAUUUUUACGAAUUAUCUUUCAAAGACAUGGUCCUGAAAAAGUGAUGUUUUUUGUUGUUGUUGCUGAGUAUAGAACUGUAUGAAAAAUGCAUAAUGUAAUUCCCACGUAAAAAAAAUACUGCAUUUGACUAUAGAAUAUGACAGUACUUACUGUAGAAUUUUGUAGAAACUGUAGUAUACUGUAGAAUACUGUACUACACACUAUUUGUUUUUAUUUUUUUAUUUUUUAUUUCACCUUUAUUUAACCAGGUAGGCUAGUUGAGAACAAGUUCUCAUUUACAACUGCGACCUGGCCAAGAUAAAGCAUAGCAGUGUGAACAGACAACACAGAGUUACACAUGGAGUAAACAUGUACUCUUUUAGUUUUUGUCCUGUAGGUUUCCACAAUGAGAAAGCCUCCACUUCUAUGUCAAAGGUAACAAAACAAAAACACUUCACUAAAUACUACAGUAAUGUCCCCAAAAACACUACAGUAUACUACAGUCUGCAAUUACUUAAAAAUUUACAUACAAUUUUUUU